rnacentral:rRNA from 1 species
GAUGAACGCUGGCGGCGUGCCUAAUACAUGCAAGUCGAGCGAACAGACGAGGAGCUUGCUCCUCUGACGUUAGCGGCGGACGGGUGAGUAACACGUGGAUAACCUACCUAUAAGACUGGGAUAACUUCGGGAAACCGGAGCUAAUACCGGAUAAUAUAUUGAACCGCAUGGUUCAAUAGUGAAAGACGGUUUUGCUGUCCCUUAUAGAUGGAUCCGCGCGGCAUUAGCUAGUUGGUAAGGUAACGGCUUACCAAGGCAACGAUGCGUAGCCGACCUGAGAGGGUGAUCGGCCACACUGGAACUGAGACACGGCCCAGACUCCGACGGGAGGCAGCAGUAGGGAAGCUUCCGCAAUGGGCGAAAGCCUGACGGAGCAACGCCGCGUGAGUGAUGAAGGUCUUCGGAUCGUAAAACUCUGUUAUUAGGGAAGAACAAAUGUGUAAGUAACUAUGCACGUCUUGACGGUACCUAAUCAGAAAGCCACGGCUAACUACGUG